CCUACGGGGGGCUUCAGUGGGGAAUAUUGGACAAUGGGCGAAAGCCUGAUCCAGCCAUGCCGCGUGUGUGAAGAAGGCCUUCGGGUUGUAAAGCACUUUCAGUGGGGAAGAAAGCCUUGGGGCUAAUACCCUCGAGGAAGGACAUCACCCACAGAAGAAGCACCGGCUAACUCCGUGCCAGCAGCCGCGGUAAUACGGAGGGUGCGAGCGUUAAUCGGAAUUACUGGGCGUAAAGCGCGCGUAGGCGGUCUGAUAAGCCGGUUGUGAAAGCCCCGGGCUCAACCUGGGAACGGCAUCCGGAACUGUCAGGCUAGAGUGCAGGAGAGGAAGGUAGAAUUCCCGGUGUAGCGGUGAAAUGCGUAGAGAUCGGGAGGAAUACCAGUGGCGAAGGCGGCCUUCUGGACUGACACUGACGCUGAGGUGCGAAAGCGUGGGUAGCAAACAGGAUUAGAUACCCCAGUAGUC
rnacentral:rRNA from 1 species